rnacentral:ribozyme from 1 species
GGGACUUAAAGCAAGAUAACCUUCACGAGGUAAGUUUCGUAAGUACCAUUGAAGAAUGGGAAACUAAUAAUCUUG